UCUGGGAAAAUAAAAGAAAUAACAAAAUAAAUUGUUUGGCAAAACGCUCCGCCUUUGAACGAAGCCAUUUCCUUGGAAAAAGGCGAACACUGCAAUGGAGAAGUGUGAUUGCGAGCAGUAAAAAGAGUCGAGGGCAUCACGUAGUGGCCUUGU